ACUUACCAAACCAUUGCAAACUCCGAAUACUAGUGAGUGCGAGCCUGGGAGACAGACACCGGGUGCUAACGUCCGAUGUCAAGAGGGAAACAACCCAGACCGCCAGCUAAGGUCCCAAAGAUUGGCUAAGUGGAAAACGAAGUGGGAAGGCUAAAACAGUCAGGAGGUUGGCUUAGAAGCAGCCAUCCUUUAAAGAAAGCGUAAUAGCUCACUGAUCGAGUCGUCCUGCGCGGAAGAUGUAACGGGGCUAAGCCAGUCACCGAAGCUGCGGAUAUCCGCAAGGAUAUGGUAGGAGAGCGUUCUGUAAGCCUGAGAAGGUGUGUUGAGAAGCAUGCUGGAGGUAUCAGAAGUGCGAAUGCUGACAUGAGUAGCGAUAAUGGAGGUGAAAGGCCUCCACGCCGUAAGCCCAAGGUUUCCUGUUCAACGUUCAUCGGAGCAGGGUGAGUCGGCCCCUAAGGCGAGGCAGAGAUGCGUAGCUGAUGGGAAGCAGGUUAAUAUUCCUGCACCGUCGUUAGAUGCGAUGGGGGGACGGAUUGCGGAAAGUCAUCCGGGUGUUGGAAGUCCCGGUUCUUGAUUCGAAGGAGGCUGCUAGGCAAAUCCGGCAGCGUAAUCCAAGGGAUUGAGACGAGUGGCCUUGUGCUGCGAAGUGAUUGGAAGUGGUUCCAAGAAAAGCCUCUAAGCUUCAGUCUAACGAGACCGUACCGCAAACCGACACAGGUGGGCGAGAUGAGUAUUCUAAGGCGCUUGAGAGAACUCGGGAGAAGGAACUCGGCAAAUUGGUACCGUAACUUCGGGAUAAGGUACGCCCUUGUAGCUUGACUGGCCUGCGCCAGGAGGGUGAAGGGGUUGCAAUAAAAAGGUGGCUGCGACUGUUUAAUAAAAACACAGCACUCUGCAAACACGAAAGUGGACGUAUAGGGUGUGACGCCUGCCCGGUGCUGGAAGAUUAAAUGAUGGGGUGAGAGCUCUUGAUUGAAGUCCCAGUAAACGGCGGCCGUAACUAUAACGGUCCUAAGGUAGCGAAAUUCCUUGUCGGGUAAGUUCCGACCUGCACGAAUGGCGUAACGAUGGCCACACUGUCUCCUCCCGAGACUCAGCGAAGUUGAAGUGGUUGUGAUGAUGCAAUCUACCCGCGGCUAGACGGAAAGACCCCAUGAACCUUUACUGUAGCUUUACAUUGGACUUUGAACCAAUCUGUGUAGGAUAGGUGGGAGGCUUUGAAGCGUGGACGCUAGUUUGCGUGGAGCCGACCUUGAAAUACCACCCUGGUUUGUUUGAGGUUCUAACCUUGGCCCGUUAUCCGGGUUGGGGACAGUGUAUGGUAGGCAGUUUGACUGGGGCGGUCUCCUCCAAAAGCGUAACGGAGGAGUUCGAAGGUACGCUAGGUACGGUCGGACAUCGUGCUGAUAGUGCAAUGGCAUAAGCGUGCUUAACUGCGAGACCGACAAGUCGAGCAGGUACGAAAGUAGGACAUAGUGAUCCGGUGGUUCUGAAUGGAAGGGCCAU
rnacentral:rRNA from 1 species